CCUACGGGAGGCAGCAGUGGGGAAUUUUCCGCAAUGGGCGAAAGCCUGACGGAGCAAUACCGCGUGAGGGAGGAAGGCUCUUGGGUCGUAAACCUCUUUUCUCAAGGAAGAUAAUGACGGUACUUGAGGAAUAAGCAUCGGCUAACUCCGUGCCAGCAGCCGCGGUAAUACGGAGGAUGCAAGCGUUAUCCGGAAUGAUUGGGCGUAAAGAGUCCGUAGGUGGUAAUUCAAGUCUGUGGUUAAAGCGUGGAGCUCAACUCCAUAAGGGCCAUGGAAACUGAAUAACUAGAGUGAGGUAGGGGUAGAGGGAAUUCUCGGUGUAGCGGUGAAAUGCGUAGAUAUCGGGAAGAACACCGGUGGCGAAAGCGCUCUACUGGACCUUAACUGACACUGAGGGACGAAAGCUAGGGGAGCGAAAGGGAUUAGAUACCCCUGUAGUCCUAGCCGUAAACGAUGGAUACUAGGUGUUGCCCGUAUCGACCCGGGCCAGUGCCGUAGCUAACGCGUUAAGUAUCCGCCUGGGAGUACGCACGCAAGUGUGAAACUUAAAAGGAAUUAGACGGCGNGAGAGNGCGAACGGACGACACAGGGAGGUUAGG
rnacentral:rRNA from 1 species